rnacentral:ncRNA from 2 species
AGUGGUGGUAGAGGCGCAAAAACUAUUAGUACGCUAUAGGAGGACAGUGAGGUCCAGUGAUUAUAGCUGAAAGGGGAAUUUGCCGAAGUAUAUUCAGUAACUCACUACUCUUAUACUGGACCUACAUUGAAUAAAUGUAGAGCUGUCACACAAUCGAUCCCAAUGGUUGUGUGGAGAACUAUCUCACGU